GGCUCAAGCCGGGUGUCGAGACGCCCGCCAAAGUCGGCCAGCGCAUCUUCUACGACAUGAAGCCGGACGGCACGGAUGCGUGGAAGGGCUCCGCAUUCAACCCGGAGGACGGCAAGACCUAUUCCGGCAAGAUGUCGCUCUCGGGCGGNCUGACCACGGCGGGAUGCGCCAUGGGCGGCAUGAUCUGCAAGUCCUCGACCUGGACGCGCGCGAACUAGAAGCGCUCAGCCGCUUCGCCGUGCGCCUUCAGCGAGCGAACGACAUCAUGCGCCGGAUCAUAUAAUCGACGUUGCCAUAGUGAUGAUGACGCCGGCUUCGCGCGCGCCGCGGUGUAUCCUCGUCAUUGCGGGCGAUGGCGUUCUCGUCCAGCGCGCUCACCCGCUUCGGGCCGAUGGCGUCGAAGCUCGCCUUCUGCUCGUCGGUGAGCGAUCCGUAGAAGCUGUCCA
rnacentral:misc_RNA from 1 species